rnacentral:misc_RNA from 1 species
GAUGAAGAACGCAGCGAAAUGCGAUACGUAAUGUGAAUUGCAGAAUUCAGUGAAUCAUCGAAUCUUUGAACGCAUAUUGCGAUCUCUGGUAUUCCGGAGAGCAUGCUUGUUUGAGUAUCAGUAAACACCUCAACUUCCAUAUCUUUUUUGAAAUGGGAGUUGGACUUGAGUGAUCCCAACGCUUUUCCUCACCGAAAAGUGGCGGGUUACUUGAAAUGCAGGUGCAGCUGGACUUUUCUCUGAGCUAUAAGCAUAUCUAUUUAGUCUGCCUAAAAAACAGAUUAUUACCUUUGCUGCAGCUAACAUAAAGGAGAUUAGUUCUUGUGCUGACUGAUGCAGGAUUCACAAAGACAGGCUUCGGCCGACUUUGUAAACUCGAUCUCAAAUCAAGUAAGACUACCCGCUGAACUUAAGCAUAUCAAUAAGCGGAGGA